rnacentral:lncRNA from 1 species
AAACCUGAUAUAGACCAUCACAUACUUGGCCCUGCAACAAAAUUUCUCGAGUCUAGAUGUCUUUAAUGACACAAUAAGAAGGAUGAAAUUCAAAAAACACAUUAUUGUCUAUAGUAAACUGAGACACGGACAUAAGAUUCUUCCGUAUACUGGGAACACACAACAUUAGACAGAUGCAAUAACUUCUUUGUUGUAGGCAAAACCGUAUUACCAAUAGAUGAAAUUGUAGUAGGGGCUCAAUUCCCUAUAAUCAGAGAAUAAGUACCUGAAUAUGAUGUUGUCGUAUUUAAUCUCGAGGCAUCCUGACAAACAUGAUGAAUGACUCCUGAAUCUGGAUACCAGGACGAGGUCUCUACUGGCACAAAAAUAUACGAAUUAGUGUUAUCAAAAUUAGAAUCACACUGUGUAGCAGGCGAAAAAUCAGACGCACGAAAUUUAGGAAUUCGAGGCAGUCCAACACCCUGUAAUGAAUCAAAAUCAAAUACUUGAGCACGAGGUUUAGUGCGCCACUAACCAUUAUGUUGUCGAGAAUUGUCGAAACCCACAUAAUUAGCAUUAGGCUCAGAUGAAUUUUGUGUACAAUGUCGGCCAACAUUAACCUGUCCAUCGCCUGGCCCAUUAGAAUUAUGUAGCCCAAACGGCUGACUUGAAAUCGUUUGCCUGGGCACCGCAGCAUUGGGG